UUUUAUUUGAGAAUUUGAUCCUGGUUCAGGAUGAACGCUGGCGGUGUGGAUAAGGCAUGCAAGUCGAGCGGUUCGAUUUCGUCGCAAGACGAAAUCGAAUAGCGGCGAACGAGUUAGUAACACGUAGGAACUUACCCCAAAGACGGGAAUAACCCUCCGAAAGGAGGACUAAUACCCGAUGGCAUGAAGGUUAAAAUCUUCAUUAAAGUCGCAAGACGCUUUGGGAGAGGCCUGCGGGCUAUCAGCUAGUUGGUAGGGUA
rnacentral:rRNA from 1 species